CAAUUGUCCGAAUAAGGUAAGGGGCCAAUGACAUUUGGGAAGAUGAGUCCAAGUUGUCUUAUCUAUUGGUUAUUUAUUUUGUUAGAUAAUCCUAUUUAAUAUUUUUAUUACGUCUUUUAUGUGGCCCUUACAUUUUAGCCAUGAUUAGCUACCUGUGUUAUUCAACUUCUUUUAAGCAUAUUCCUUGUCGGCGAGUGAUAUAAGGUCUUGGGGUACUUUAUAUUAUUUUUAUACGUGUGUAUUUAUAUUAUUUUUAUACGUGUGUAAAUCCAUUGAUACUGUUAUUAUUAUUUCUUGGCAUGGCACUGGACAAGUGGACUUACGUGGCCAGUGAUGACAACAACAAAAUGGAUGCCGAACUCUUAGAAAUUUUGAGAAAAGCCAACGGCAAGUGUCCUGUGAAUAGCUGGAAGGAUGACCGCUUGAAGUGUCUGCCAGAAGAAUGUUUUGAGCGAGAACGCCUGACUUGUAACAGCGUUUCUGAGGUGAAAGCACUGAUCCAUGCUUUUGGGACUGGCUUGAGGUUGCCUGAAAUUCGCUAGAGAAGUACAUGAUAUGGGAAUAUUAUGUAAAAUUCUGCACUAGAUAUAUUUACAGGAAGUGGAUUUUAAGUGACGAGUUUAGCAACCGUGCUUUUAGUAGAGCAUAUUAUGGUUUUAAAUUAAACUUUGUAAAUUGUUUGGAAAUGAUGUCAAAAUUAUUAGCUCUAGCUUUCUUGAUA